UCUAACUUCUGGAGAGUUAAGAUGAAAACAGUUUUAAACCAAAUUUUUCAACAACGACCUUGAUUUUUGCCUUGCUUAGCAACAAGUUUCAUUUGCUAAGGUUCAGGUGUUUGAGCAGUAGAAAGUACAGGGAAAGAAGAAUAAAGAGGAUUGGAAAACAAAAGCAAAUGAUGAUGACAUAAUGCCUGUUCACAAAUGGCUUGGGCAACUAUGCUAAGAACAAUUGGGAUCUUCUGGCUGGAGAAUCCUUGGGUGCUCAUCCUUCAACUGCACUAGUCCAAGGUCUGUGCCCAGCACUGUGUCCCCCAAACCCUAGUGUCUGGCACAAUGAAAGAAAUCAAUAAAUAUUCGGGCUCACAGACACAC